CAGAAAAUAUUUACCAAAGACACAUCUGAUAAAAGACUCUUAUCUAAAACAUAUAAAGAAUUCUUAAAACUCAAUAAUCGGGGAACAGACACACCCCCCAGUUAAAAAAUAGGCAGAAGACCUAAAUAGAUACCUUACCAAAGAAAAUCUCCAGAGGGCAAAGAAGCAUAUGAAAAGAAGCUCAACGUCACAUACCAUUAGGGAAUUGCAAAUUAAAACAACAAUGAUACCACUAGACCCAUCUAAGAAUGGCCAAAAUCCCAAACACUGACAACACCAAAUGCUGGUAUGGAUAUGGAACUAGAGGGACACCAAUUCACUGCCAAUCGCGAUGCCACGUGGUACAGCCACUUUGGAAGACAGUUUCUUACAAAACUAAACAUACUUUUACCAUAUGAUCCAGCAAUCCUACUCCUUGAUGUGUACCCAGAUGAGUUGAAAACUGAGGUCCACACAAAAACCUACACACGUGGUUAUGGCAGCUUCAUUCGUAAUUGCCAAAACUUAGAAGCAACCAAGAUGUCCUCAGUAGAUUGAAUGGAUAAAGAGGGGUACGUCCAGACACUAGAACAGUAUCCAAAGAAGAAGAAAAAGAAGAAAAGCAAGAAUGAAUAGAGAGGCAAAAAAAAAACAACAGAUGAGUCGAACAGAAAACCAAUAGCAGAAUGGCAGAUCCCACUCCAGUCAUAUCAGUAAUUAUCCUAAAUGUAAAUGGAAUAAACCUCUGAAUUUGAAAUCAAAGAUUGAUUUCAGGCAAACAGUAUUGUCCAAAGUCCACAGUUUACAAUAGGGUUCUUUCUAGGUGGUGUAUAUUCUAUGAGUUUGGAAAAGUGUAUAUAAUGACACGUAUUCACUAUUUCCGUUCAUUGUGGGUCCAUUGAUUGUAACAAAUAUACCACUCUGGUACAGGAUGUUGAUAGUGGAGAAAGCUAUGCCUCUAUGGGAGCAGGGAGUAUAUGGCAACACUGUGUAUUUUCCAUUCAGUUUUACUGUUAACCUAAAACUACUCUAAAAAGUAAAGUCAAUUUUAAAAAAUAAGGCAAAGAGAUAAAGCUAUAAAGUCAGUAGAGGAAAAAAGAAGCAAGCAAGCAAGAAUGAAUAGAGAGGCAAAAAAAAAAUCAAAAAACAGAUGAGGCGAACAGAAAACCAAUAGCGGAAUGGCAGAUCCCACUCCAGUCAUAUCAGUAAUUAUCCUAAAUGUAAAUGGAAUAAACCUCCGAAUUAGAAAUCAGAGAUUGAUUUCAGGCUCAGCUGCAUGCUGUCUACAAGAGAUGCAUUUUAAUUACAAAGGCACAGCUUGGUUGAAAGUGAAAAGAUGAAAAAGGAUCUACCAGACUGACAGUAAGCAUAAGAGAGCUAUAGUAGGCAUACUAACGUCAGAUAAGGUAGACUUCAAGACAGAAGGUGUUACAAGAGUAUUUCAUACCAAUAAAAGGAGCAGUUUAUCUGGAAGACUAACAGUGAAAAACAUGUUCAUGGCUAAUAAGCUUUUUUAAAUUAUAUGAAUUAAAAAUUGACAGACUGAAAUGAUGAAACAGACAAAUCCACAGUCAUAGUUGGAGAGUGUCAUACUUCUCUUUCACUAAUUGAAAGAAUUACUAGACAAAAGAUCAGGAAGGACAUAGAUGAUCUGGACAACACUAGUAGCCACCUUAACCUGUUCCACAUGUAUAGAACAAUAUAUCCGACAACCACAAAAUACACCUCUCUCCAAUGCUCAUGGCACAUUCACCAAAAGUGGCGCUAUUCUGGACCAUCAAAACAGUCUCUAUAAGUUUCAGAGAUUGAAAUCACACUGACACAGAGAUUGAAAUCACACUAUGUUCUCUGACCACAGUGGAAUUAGCAAUCAGUAACAACAUACCUAGGAAGUCUUCAAAAUAUUUAAUUUAAGCAGCAUACUUCUAAACAACUCAUGGGGCAAAAAAGAAAUCACAAAAAUGAUGAGAAAAUCUUUCUAACUGAUUGACAAUGGAAAUACAUUACAGUUUGUGGCAUGCAAUUAAAGCCAUGCUGACAGGGAAAUGUGUAAUUUUCAGUACUUGUGUUAGGAAAAAAGAGAAAGGGUAAGUUGAUUACCUAAGGUUCUAGCUGAAGAAGUUGGAGAAAACAAGAAGAGCAGCAUUAUUUGUAAUACCCCAAGCUGGAUGCUACUCAAAUGCCCAGACUUAGUAGAAUUGAUAAAGAAAUCUGGGUGUGUUCACAUAAUAAAAUACUAUUUAGCAAUAAGCUUAAACUCCCUCUAGUUCUUGAGCAAUCAGUGGCAAAUAUAGCAGAAUUUUGCAGAUGUGAUUGUGAGUGAGAAAAGCCGGACACAAGAAUAUAGACUGUGUGAGUCCAUUCAUAUGAAGUGCACAAACAGCUGAAACUUGUAUAGGCUGGUUAAAGGCCAGUAUAGUGUUCACCCUUAGUGGGGGAUCAUGAAUGGCAUUAGACCUGAGGGGGACCUCUGUGGAGUUAGUGCUUUGCAUCUGAUCUGAGUACUGAUGACAUAGAUGUGUUCAGGAGUGGAACUUCACUGAGCCACACUACAGUUGUGUAUGUAUGCCUACAUGUAUAUUUCAGUAAUAACACAAAAAGAAACUCAUGGGCAGCAUGAGUUUUUUUUUAAAGAUUUUAUUUAUUUAUUUGAGAGAGAGAGAAAACACAAGCAGGGGGAGGGGCAGAGGGAGAGGGACCAGCAGACGCCCUGCUGAGCAGGGAGCACAAUGUGCGGUUUGAUCCCCAGACUCCAAGAUUGGAACCUGAGCUGAAGGCAGAUAUUUAACUGACUGAGCUAUCCAGGUCCCCUUCAUGGGCAGCAUUUUCAACAAAGUAGGUGACAACGUAUCCCCAUGAACUUCAGAAUAAAAACAGAUAAAGGCAGGUCCCUCAUAACCACAAGAUCAACAAGUGAUUGGUAUCGGUGUAGAAGAAAGCAGAAAGCAUUGACAGACCCACCUGAGAGACCUGACAGCAGAAUUCCAAAACAGCAAACAGGCAUUCCCUCCAUAGUGUGGCACUCCAGCAUAAGGACAGCAGUUGAAACAGGAGGGGUUUUGCCCUCCAGUAAACACUGGGUUAAGUACAAGGGACUUGUGGUCAGAGUCAGAAAGGACGGAGAAAGUCCAGUCUGUAAUGAACUCUUAAAAAGGACCCACCAGAUCUUGCUUCCAGGAACAGGGUCCCACACUUGAGGAGAAGCUGCUGAGGAUGGAAUGGACGUUGAAUAGAAUAGGGACCAUAAAGAAGGAGGAAAGGUAAGAAUCAGGUAAAAGCGGGCGAGAGGACCAGAGCCAAGAACUCCAGUGAAGCGAGUCAUCACAUUUCUUUAACAGGCAUAGAAACAGCAGAAGGGGAGCCUCUGUGAAGUCAGAAGAGCCGCCCCGAACCAUACUUUCUAAAAGUUCCAGAGAACUUAUUACACGUAAGAAUGAACAACAGAUGGUACUACUGGUUGCACAGCUCUGAAAAUACUAAAACCACUGAACUGUACACUCGAAAUGGGUGAAUUUUAUGGUACAUGAAAUAUGUCUCAAUAAGGCUGUGAACACAAUUAUCAAGGUUGUAUCCCACACAAAAUUAUUAUAAAAGGGGAGGGGAGAAUCAAAAGCAUUCCAGAAAGACACACUCAAAAAACAACAAGUCAAAAAUACAUACUGUUUUUAAAAAUUGAACAAAGUUAAUGUGUUCACUGCUAUAAAUAUACACUGUUAAAAAUUAGUUGGCAGGCAUUAAGACUGUGUAAGACAGGGACGAAGAAGAGUAUAAAGCAGGAUUCAUAAAACACAGAAAAGUGGUGGCAAUGUGGGAGAAAGAAGAAUCAUAUCAGAAGUAAAAGCCAAACCAGAAGAAAACAAGAAUGGGUAAACAUUACAGAAAAUGCCUGGCUAAGGUAAAAGGGAAAAUGUUUUAAAUAAAAAAGGAGCAGAGAUAAACACAACUGAAGAAAAAGUGGCAAGUACUAAAGAUAGCAAAGAGGAUUUGACUUUUGGGUGAUGGGAUUAUCUACAGAAGAAAAGCAAGACCAAACCAAGAUAAAAGAGUAAAUGCUAAAAACAAAUGUUAAGGAAGCUUUCCUGGAACCUAAAAAAAAAAAAAAAAAAGGAAAAAAAUACUUACUCUGACAAAGCACACCAUGUACCUGAGACCAACCAAAAGACACAUUGUCAUAAAAUUACUAGACUUUAAAGAAGAAAAAAUGCCUCAGACAUUUCAGCAAAAACAGCAGUUGAUUUAUAAAGGGAAGAAAACUAGAUCACCCUCCAACUUUUGUGCCACCAAUGCUUUAUGGCAGAAGAAAGCAGAGUAACAUGUAGUUAAGAUACCCAAGGUGGAGCAUGUGAGCCAAGGACAUGAUCCCUGGUAAAACUGACCAUUGAGUAUAAAGGAUGCAGACCUAUAUCAACCUAGAGGAGCUCAGGAAAUACUGUUCCCAUGAUCCCCUCCUAAGGAAUUUGCUAGAGAAUGAGCUUUAGACAACCAAAAUAAUAAGGAAGAUAUCAUCUAAGGGCUGGUGGUGGUCUACUAGUCACUUGUAGAACUAAGACUAAAUGAAGGGGUUAAAAAGGAGAGAGCAGAGUGUAAUGUUUAUCUGCUCAGUGCUCAGGUAAUGUAGAUACAGUACAACAGUGUUUUAAAAAAUGGAGAAUUGGGGAAAGCAUGUGCAAGAAAAAAAAUGUUCUCAGUAUUCAUAUUGGUGGAAAUGUUACUUUUUUAUUCCAACACUGUGUGUAAUGUGAGGUAAAUGAGCAGUUAGGAGCUAUUCUCAUUCUAUCCUCUGUCUCUGAGAAGUAAGACUUUUCAUGUGGACAAAUACAGAUGAAAAAAAAUGUAAGUUAGAAAUAAAACAAACCUGUAGUGCUGAAUAGGAACUCGAGAAAUUGUAUUGAAAAGUACACACACACACACACACACACACACACACACACACACAGCUUUCAGUCUUGAAAUACCAUUCCCACUACAAGAAACCAGGAUGUCUUAGAGAAAUAGCUAGUUCUAAGUCUGGGGCAGGAAAUAGACGUGAUGAGCUGGAAACAUCUUGUUAAAAAGACAGGGAAGACAUUUUCAAAGGUAACUAGGGUCGUAGCAGUAGGACUCAGAAGUCAAUUUGAAAAUGUUUCCACUGGCCAGAGACAGUUUGGCUUCAAAAAGGGUUAAUUGUCAGUAGCAAGGAGCACUUUCAGAGCCCACAUCUGGGCUCUCUAGUUUAAAAAAAAAGAAGAAGAAGAAGAAGAAA